CCCUUAGAUGUUCUGGGCUGCACGCGUGCUACACUGAUAUUGCCAAUAUGUCAUUCUUAUCCGAAAUGGAUUGGGUAAUCAAGUAAUGAAAUUUCAUGCUUGGAAUCGGUAGUUGCAAUUUUAUCGUGAACGAGGAAUUCCUAGUAAGCACUAGUCAUCAGCUAAUGUUGAUUAUGUCCCUGCCCUUUGUACACACCGCCCGUCGCUACUACUGAUUGGGUGUUCAAGUGAGAUGCUUAGACCCUUGUUGCAUGGUUCAUUAUUGUGCUCCGAAAGGAAAAAGUUUCAAGCUUGAGUGUCUAGAGGAAGUAAAAGUCGUAACA
rnacentral:rRNA from 1 species